rnacentral:rRNA from 1 species
AAGUUCCUUCGGGAAUGAGUAGAGUGGCGCACGGGUGAGUAACGCGUGGAUAAUCUACCGGGGAGUGAGGAAUAACAGUUGGAAACGACUGCUAAUACCGCAUACGCUGCAUAUUAUGACUUAUGCAGGAAAGGAGGCCUCUGCAUAUGCUUCCGCUUUUCGAUGAGUCCGCGUCCCAUUAGCUGGUUGGGGGGGUAACGGCCCACCAAGGCGACGAUGGGUAGCUGGUCUGAGAGGAUGAUCAGCCACACUGGGACUGGAACACGGCCCAGACUCCUACGGGAGGCAGCAGUGGGGAAUAUUGCGCAAUGGGCGAAAGCCUGACGCAGCGACGCCGCGUGAGGGAUGAAGGUUCUCGGAUCGUAAACCUCUGUCAGAAGGGAAGAAAUUAUAUCAUGCUAAUCAGUGGUGUAUUGACGGUACCUUCAAAGGAAGCACCGGCUAACUCCGUGCCAGCAGCCGCGGUAAUACGGAGGGUGCGAGCGUUAAUCGGAAUUACUGGGCGUAAAGCGCACGUAGGCUGUAUGACAAGUCAAGGGUGAAAUGCCACGGCUCAACCGUGGAACUGCCUUUGAGACUGUCAAACUGGAGUAUGUGAGAGGGCGGCGGAAUUCCUGGUGUAGGAGUGAAAUCCGUAGAUAUCAGGAGGAACAUCAGUGGCGAAGGCGGCCGCCUGGCACAAAACUGACGCUGAGGUGCGAAAGCGUGGGUAGCAAACA